rnacentral:RNase_P_RNA from 1 species
GGAGUCGGCCAGACAACCGCUGCCGUCGCAAGACGGGGGAGGAAAGUCCGGGCUCCGCAGGGCGAUGUGCCAGCUAACGGCUGGGCGGCGCAAGCCGACGGACAGUGCAACAGAAAGAUACCGCCGAUGGGCACGCGCUUGCGUGUGUCACAGGCAAGGGUGAAAUGGUGCGGUAAGAGCGCACCGCGAGUUCAGCAAUGAACCGGCACGGCAAACCCCACAUGGAGCAAGGCCAAAUAGGGAGGGAGGUGUCUGGCAGCAAUGCCAUUGGCACGACACGCGGCCCGCGUGCUCUCCGGGUAGGCUGCUGAAGACGGCGAGUGAUCGUCGUCGUAGAGGAAUGGUUGUCUCGGCGGCGUCGCGCGCAAGCGGGGCGUCGGUAGACAGAACCCGGCUUAUCGGCCGACUCCCCUU